rnacentral:rRNA from 1 species
CUAUUAUUCUUUAUUUUAAAAAUUUUAUUACUUAAGUAGUAUGAACAUAAUUUAGGUAGUGUAAAAAUUGAUUAUUUUUUGUGUUUGAAACUUAAAAGGCUUGGCGGUGUUAUAUAUCCUUCCAGAGGAGUUUGCUUUAUUAAUUUGAUAAUCCUCAAUUUAUACUUACUUUUCUUUGAAUGAUUAUUUAUAUAAUUAAUCAGUUUGUAUAUUGCUGUCAUCAGUUUAUUUUGUAAGAAUUAUGUAAGAGACUUAAUAAUUGAUAGGUUAUUAUGUCAAGUCAAAAUGCAGCUAAUAAAAAAGGUUUAUAAAGUGAACUACAGUUUAUGAUUUUUAAUCGGAUUAAGUCAUGUAAUUGACUUUUGAAGUUGGAUUUGGUAGUAAUAAUUAUAAUUAGUAGGUUUAUAUGAAUUAGGUUUUAUAAUGCGU